AUUGAACGCUGGCGGCAGGCCUAACACAUGCAAGUCGAGCGAGCGGCGGAUGGGUGAGUAAUGUCUGGGAAACUGCCUGAUGGAGGGGGAUAACUACUGGAAACGGUAGCUAAUACCGCAUACCCUCAGAUGUGCCCCGAUGGGAUUAGCUAGUAGGUGGGGUAAUGGCUCACCUAGGCGACGAUCCCUAGCUGGUCUGAGAGGAGGACCAGCAACACUGGAACUGAGACACGGUCCAGAAUCCUACGGGAGGCAGCAGUGGGGAAUAUUGCACAAUGGGCGCAAGCCUGAUGCAGCCAUGCCGCGUGUAUGAAGAAGGCCUGCGGGUUGUAAAGUACUUUCAGCGAGGAGGCGUUACUCGCAGAAGAAGCACCGGCUAACUCCGUGCCAGCAGCCGCGGUAAUUC
rnacentral:rRNA from 1 species